GCCCUCAAAAUUUUUCUGUAGUGCUUAUACUAAAAUUGAAACAAUACAGAUAAGAUUAGCAUGGUUCCUGCACAAGGAUGACAUGCAAAUUUGUGAAGAGUUCCAUAUUUUU
ensembl:snRNA U6 U6 spliceosomal RNA